rnacentral:rRNA from 1 species
GAUGAACGCUGACAGAAUGCUUAACACAUGCGAGUCAACUUGAACUUCGGUUUGGGUGGCGGACGGGUGAGUAACGCGUAAAGAACUUGCCUCACAGUUAGGGACAACAUUUGGAAACGAAUGCUAAUACCUGAUAUUAUGAUUUUAGGGCAUCCUAGAAUUAUGAAAGCUAUAUGCGCUGUGAGAGAGCUUUGCGUCCCAUUAGCUAGUUGGAGAGGUAACGGCUCACCAAGGCGAUGAUGGGUAGCCGGCCUGAGAGGGUGAACGGCCACAAGGGGACUGAGACACGGCCCUUACUCCUACGGGAGGCAGCAGUGGGGAAUAUUGGACAAUGGACCAAGAGUCUGAUCCAGCAAUUCUGUGUGCACGAUGAAGUUUUUCGGAAUGUAAAGUGAUUUCAGUUGGGAAGAAAAAAAUGACGGUACCAACAGAAGAAGUGACGGCUAAAUACGUG